rnacentral:rRNA from 1 species
GAUGAACGCUGGCGGCGUGCCUAAUACAUGCAAGUCGAGCGAACAGACGAGGAGCUUGCUCCUCUGACGUUAGCGGCGGACGGGUGAGUAACACGUGGAUAACCUACCUAUCAGACUGGGAUAACUUCGGGAAACCGGAGCUAAUACCGGAUAAUAUAUUGAACCGCAUGGUUCAAUAGUGAAAGACGGUUUUGCUGUCACUUAUAGAUGGAUCCGCGCCGCAUUAGCGAGUUGGUAAGGUAACGGCUUACCAAGGCGACGAUGCGUAGCCGACCUGAGAGGGUGAUCGGCCACACUGGAACUGAGACACGGUCCAUACUCCUACGGGAGGCAGCAGUAGGGAAUCUUCCGCAAUGGGCGAGAGCCUGACGGAGCAACGCCGCGUGAGUGAUGAAGGUCUUCGGAUCGUAAAACUCUGUUAUUAGGGAAGAACAAAUGUGUAAGUAACUAUGCACGUCUUGACGGUACCUAAUCAGAAAGCCACGGCUAACUACGUG